rnacentral:rRNA from 1 species
AUCAGGUAGGAAUACCCGCUGAACUUAAGCAUAUCAAUAAGCGGGAGGAAAUUUCCCUUGUGUUUUUUUGCGUGCUUUUGAAUUUUACUCCUUUGCUGGCUUUAAUUAACUUG